rnacentral:lncRNA from 1 species
CUCACAAGACCUUAUAUCCAUCCUUCUCCAGCUCCUGAAAACAAACAACAACGGAUCCUUAAACGACGCCGUUACUUCCAUUUUAACCACCAUUUCAAUAACGCGCUCCAUCAGGUCCCGCCUCAUCGAAAACGGCAUCGUUGAAAUCCUAUCAAACUCGCUCACCGAAAAGUCGUUGAAGUUGUUAGCAACGCUUAGCACUUGCAGCGAAGGGAGGUCAGCAAUCAGUUCCGAGCCAAAAUGCGCGGCGGCGAUCGUAGAAAAGCUGUUGAAGGUGUCGAAAAGGGGGACGGAGGACGCCGUAACGGUGUUGUGGAGCACGUGUUGCUUGAACAAAGAGGAGAAAGUGAAAGAAGCGGUGGUAAAAGGGAAUGGGGUGACGAAGAUAUUAGUAAUAAUGCAAAGAGAAGGGGAAGGGAAUGUGAAGAUGAUGUGCAGGGAUUUGGUUAAGGCUCUAAGAGCUGUAUGUAAAGAUUGGUGUUUAGGCAGUUAUGAAACCAAAACUACACAUAUUAGACCUUGUUGAGGAGCAUUCUUUAUUUUUGGACAUAAAUUUACACACAAGAUUCAUGUAGUUACCACUUAGUUCAAAGGAAACACGAUUCUAUGUUUUGUUUUUGUUAGAAACAUUAUUCCUGGAAUUCCCAUCUUCCCUUCCUAUGGGAGCUUUCAACAGGUAGGCGAACCUCACUUGAGUUCACAGGCUGUACCAUUCAACCAUCACAUUUGACCUGCCACUUGGUUUUGGACCGGCUUUUUUAAAUUUUAUUCCACUUAAUUUUUAAAUUUAAAAUAAAAUUUUAUUUAAUUGAUUUGAAUUUAUUAAAAAAUUAAUGGCUAUUGAACUAAAACAUAAUAAACUACUGAAUAAAUUUACAAAUGAUUAUUGAACUAAGAUUACAUUUUUACCACCCAAUUAUCAAAAAUUACAUUGUAAUUAUCCAUCUAUUAACCGGUUAAGUUGACCACCUAUUUGCCAUAUAUCUUAAAUAUAUUUAACGAAAACAAAACCCUAACUCUUUUAAGAUAAAGAAAAACCCUAAUAAACAUUUGCCUAUUUAGAUUGUGGUAUGUGAUGUGAUACAAGUUUUGAUAUAAGUAUUGGCACAACAACAUGAACAAAAUAGAAAACAUUAGAAUGAACACAAAUAAAUUGGUAAUGUAAUUCAGUGCACCAUCAACUUGUGCGAGACCUUGCCUAGAGAAAUCCAUUGCUAAACUCAUGAUAAAAACAAUGAUUCAAGUCCAAUAUAUUUUAACCCUCGGAUAAUUACAGACUCACCCAAAUGCAUUUAGUACGAACUCUCUCUAAACAACCUCUCCUUGUAAAGGCUCUUAACUAUUCAUUCAAAGAUGAAUAAAAAAUAAAAUAUGCAUUCAAUAAAAGUUAUUUACCAUGAACAUAUAACCGCUCCCUAAAUUUUAUUAAAAAAAAAAUCUAAGUACAUCCAAUUUUAUCCCACGAAUCAUCCAUAUAUAUAUAUAUAGGCUUUAAAUAAUCUCAAAAUCAUCCCCAUGUAAGAUGAGAUAAAAUUAAUUUAAUUUGAAAAGAUUUAUCUUGAAAUUUCAUAUCCAAGCAUUUUUAAAUAAACUAUUUUCAAGCCUUUAUAUGAUUUUCAAUUUUAAAUCUAUGUUUGGACUAAAAUUCUUCAUAAGCUUGCUGCAAAGUUAUAUUAUGAGAUAAUGAUAGAAGGUCUUUAAGGAUCAUAUUUGAAAUCGAACUCUUCUAUCUUGGAGCCAUGUGUUACAUCAAGUACAUAGAUAACCCAUGUAUAUCCUCCGUUUUUGUUGCUUAUAAGAUAACUAUAAAGAUAUAUACAAAGUUAAAAACUUUCAACAAUAAAACUGAUGCAUAGUCAAGUUGUGGUUUGUAGCACAAACAUUUUUGACAAAACCUCUCCAACAAAAACAAGAACAGUAGGAAACAAGAAUCACAUGUUAAAAGAAUUUCAAACUGAAUGAAAACCUGGAUAGCAGCUUCGUCUAUGUCCUCCUCUUCGACUAAAAUCUAAAGCAGUUGUGGUAGUAGGUGUGCCAACAUUAAAUACCACAUGGUUUUGGGUUGCAUAGAUAAAGAAGAAAGUUUUAGAUUACUGGAGGAGAGAUAAAUAUGAUUUCAAGUUUUAGAUAGAAACUCUUCUAUCUUGGAGCCAUGUAUUACAUCAAGUAUAUAAAUAACCUAUGUAUAUCCUACGUUUUUGUUGCUUAUAAGAUAACUAUAAAGAUAUAUACAAAGUUAAAAAUUUUCAACAAUAAAACUGAUGCAUAGUCAAGUUAUGGUUUGUCAUGGGACACAACUUGUAGCCCAAAUCAUUAUAUAUAUUAACAAUCACGACAUUUGACAUUUUUGACAAAACCUCUCCAACAAAAAUAGUAGGAAACAAGAAUCACAUGUUAAAAGAAUUUCAAACUGAAUGAAAACCUGGAUGCAGCUUCGUCUAUGUCCUCCUCUUCGACAAAAAUCUAAAGCAGUUGUGGUAGGAGGUGUGCUAACAUUAAAUACCACAUGGUUUUGGGUUACAAACACUACAACAAAACAGGCUAUUAGCGGCGCUUUUUCACAUAAACGUCGCUAAAGAGCAUGACCUCUUUAGCGGCGCUUAUAUCACAAACACCGCUAAAGAUCAUGUUCUUUAGCGGCGCUAAUUUUUCAAACGCCGCUAAAGAACAUGACCUUUAGCGGCGCUUUUUCAUACAUGCCGCUAAAGGUGAUGUUCUUUAGCGGCGCUAUUGUUACAAACGCCGCUAAAUGUCAUGUUUUUUAGCGGCGCUUUUCACCAUAAACGCCGCUAAAGACCAUGACAUUUAGCGGCGCUUUUUACCACAAUCACCGCUAAAGAACAUCACCUUUAGCGGCGCUUUUAUCACAAACGCCGCUAAAGGUAUGUUCUUUAGUGGUGCUUUACGGUAAAUGCCACUAACUUUGGCAGAUUUCUAACAUUCAUUUUCAUCCAUAUGCGACCCUUCUUGUAACAUGAAAACCAACCAAAAGCAGCAAAUUCAAAUGAUACUUCAAAUUCAACAAAAGAUAUAUAUAAAUUGAUAAAUGAAGUAUAAUUCAUAUUAUUCUUACAAUAAUGUUAAAAGUUAAAAUGCUAAAAAUAUUUAUACGGUAGUCUAAGAUGGCGAAUUUUACGACUGCUGAAACAUCUUCAUCAUAUUGUGAAGUUGUUGUUGGAGUUCGUCGUACUUUCUGCUCUGCUCUGCUUCCCUCGCUGCUGCCUCUGCUUCCCUCGCUGCUGCCUCUACUUCCCUCGCUGCUGCCUCUGCUUUAAGUUGUAGCUGGAGUGCUUCAUAUUUUCUUUGAACCUCAGCUUCUCUCGAUGUUGCCUCUACUUUAAGUUGUAGCUGGAGUGCUUCAUAUUUUCUUUGAACCUCAGCUUCUCUUGAUGCUGCCUCCUUUUUUGAUUGAGUAAUUUGCUCAACUGUGCUCGCUUGCAUCUGAGCCAUCUGGUCUCUUAACCUCUGAACUUCAGCUUGAGCCUAACUCCCCAAAGGCAUGUAUUGCUGCGAGUUGGAUCCAAAAUAUUGGGUUGGGUUAACAAAAGAUCCUUGAAAUCGAACUCGACUGUACCUUUUAGGACCCAAAACUUCAGUAAUAAUCCGGUUAUCAAUGUCAUCAAGAUGAACAAAACUAUCACUCGAAGCAAUUGUUUCGUACUCUGACUUUUUAUCAUUUAGUUUCUCCUAAUAAAUAAAUCAAAUAGUUAGAAACGCAAUAUAUAUUAUAAAAACAAAUGCAUUAUAAAAUAAACACUAUAAAUAUUUAAAACAUAUCAAAUUUUAUUAAGUAAACAUACCAUAAUAUUUGCAGCUUUAGGAGUCAUAGGAGAUCCAUCUUUCUUCCUAUGUGUAAUGUCAAAAAGCUUAAGGCGUCCAACUUUUUGACCGGAUGACAGUUCCUACAAUAUAGUAGUAAAAAUAUUAUUUAAUGGAAAGUAAUAAAUAUUUGACACUAUUAAUAAAUUCAAAAUACCUCAGCCUCAGCUACACAAGCGAAACUUUUUGACCCAACUGUGUGAGUGAAUUUCUGUUUUUGCCUGCUGCUUUUUCCAACUCGUUCACGAUCCUACAUUAUGAAAUUAUUAUUACGUAUAUAGUAAAUACUAUAAACCGAAAUAAUUAUAAGAGUUUGGAAGUACGUAAUACCUCUCCUUUCUUUGAAUUCCAAAAUCUAACCGCAUCUUCUCAUUGGUACCUCAGUAUUCCCGGCGGGACAUUUUGCAAUUUCUCUUCGAGGGUUGUUUUUGUCUUAAAAUAAUUUUUCUUUAAAGUACUUUUAUGGUCUCUCCAUCUUUUUCCCAAUGCCUUCUUGACAUAAUUAUCCAAGACCUCUAAAGCAAACCUCACCUACAAAAAAAACAAGUUUAGAAAGUAAAUAUAAAUGAAACUUAAAGCCAAGUAUUAUAAAUUACAUUAACGUUUUAUUACCUUAAUAUUAUCGAGAGCUUGAUUUUUGUUACUAUCAGGCAUUUCUUGCCAUGACUCGUAGUUGAUAGGCAACAUAUUUGCAUUUCGUGCUAUUAUGCCCAAAUAUCCUGCUAAAAGUCGAGCUUCUGAUCCAACAGGCUGACCAAAACUGUUUCUACAUACUUUGACAUGCUCGACAGGAUCUAACUCGUAUAAAUCUUUAAGUAGCGUACAUCCUCAACCUCUGCGCGUCCCACCACUUUCAGCUGAAAAAUGGUAUAUUAUAAUAUAAGAAUUUGAAAAAGAAAUCAACAAUAAGUCAACACGCAUGUAAAUUAAAUGUAAAAUUACUUUGAAUUUCUGUAGGUUCGUCAGGUGUAUUCGGAACAUUCGAAGAUCCAAUAGCAGUCUGUUGUUCACUAUUUGUUUCUUUCGAGUUUGGAGUAUUUUGAAUAAUGCUUAGAUCUCGCAAUUUUCUUCUAGGCAUUUUAUCUGCAAUACACAUAAAAUAGUUGAAAACUUAGUAACUAAUUACAACAAUAAUAGCACAUAUAAAAUAGUUGAAAUAUUUAAUAAGACCAAGAUUUAAAUUAUGAUAUUUUGUAUAAUUAAAAAACCGUAAAAUCUUACUACAUCAUAAUUCGUAAAUAUCUUCAUCCAUAUCCUGGCGAACCCAUUGAAAUUCUGUACUAGUACUAGAGAUAUUUUCGUUUAAGUUUUGUUCUGGAAAAGGAAAAAUUUCUGAUCUAUCGUCGAUGUCAUCUCUACUUCCAUUGCCCAUGUCAAACAAGUCUCUAGGGAUGUUACGGAGCACAACGUACCAACCCUCAUCAGUUGGAUCUUUUGUAUAAAAAACUUGUUUCACUUGAGAAGAAAAUACAUACGACUCAUCUAUCAAUUGUUGUCAUGUGUGAAUCAAUCGAGAGAAGUUUACCAUUGUAAAACCAAAUUGAUCUUUCUUAAUUCCACGAGCAGUAUUAACAUCAGCCCAAUCACCUCAAAAUAAGACAACUUUUCAUUUGCCGUAGUAAUCCAACUCAAUUAUGUCAAUAAGAAGUCCGAAAUACUCCACAUUUCCCUCAACAGGAUUAUUGUCCCUAGCACUAGCAUAACUUGUAAUUGAGGAAUUAACAACUAUUCCACAAUUUUGAGUUCUCCUCAAUCUCUCGCAAUAUUUUGUAUGAAAUCUGAAUCCGUUGAUGAGGAAGGCACUAUAUCUUUUAACCACUCUAUUCGAACCUUGGGAAAUCCAUUUAACUUCGUCAUUAACGUUCUUCCCACUCCAAACCUAUUGAAUCGAAAGUAAACUGAGUAAUUAUAAAUGUUAUGAGAAAACAUUAUUAUUUGUCAAUUAAAGCUUUAAUUGCAUACCGUUUGGCUUAACCAUUCAUGAAAAGAUUCUGUGAACAACUUAUUGAUCUCUUGAUGUUGUAAUCUUCGGGAGCACGAACGAGAUCUCAAGAUUUGUUUGUACUUACUAUGUUAAAAAUGUUCACUUUGUUAGAAGAUAAAACAAUUUAUAAUUGAUGAAUAUUUAUCAAAUUCUAGAACUUACUUCCGUAAUGGUUCCAUUGAAUCGUGGUGAAACAAAACAUAUCGAUGUGCUUGUACCCACGAUCUAUCAUCUAAUUCUACAAUUUCAACUUUGCCGAUUGGUUCUCCAAAACUUUGAAACAAAUAAGUUUCAGCGAAGUUAUGAUCAAUGAGCCCAGAAUUUCUACUUGGUCUGUUCAACCUUGUUUCAACACCUUCCAAAUAUCUUGAACAGAAAGUCAUACAUUCCUCUGCCAAGUAGCCUUCCGUAAUCGAUCCUUCUGGAUAACGCUUGUUGCGGCAGUAAGACUUCAAUUUGGAUAGGAACCUAAACACAAUAUACAACAUUAUCAAAACUUGUAACUAAAAGCAUAUUGGUGAAUGAAGGAAAAUUUUACAAAUAAAUUAACACCUUUCUAUGAGAUACAUCCAUCGAUAGAAAACGGGUCCACCGAGUAUUGCUGAAAACCAUAAACCAUAACCCCUAUCCUGAAAACCAUAAACCCUAGACCUUAGACACUAGAUCAUAGACCUUAAACCCUUAAACUUUGAACCCACAAACCCUAAACAAUAACCCACAAACCUUAAACCCUAAACUCUAAGCCCUCUUAUCCCUUAAACCCUAAAUUUUAAACUUAUAAAUUAUAAACCCCUAACCCUUAACCCCUAACUCUUAACCCCUAACACUUAAACCCUAAGUACUAACCCUUAAACCCUAAACCCUAAACUAUAUUUCCUAAAACUUUAACCCAUAUCCCCUAAACCUUGAAUCAUAAAACAUUAACUAUAAACCCUAAACCCCUAACCCUUAACCUCUAACACCUAAAACCUAAACCCUAACCCUUAAACCAUAAUCCCUAAACCCCUAACCCAUAUCACUUAAACCCUGAAUCAUAGAACAUAUAUAAACUAUAAACCUUAAACCCAAAAUCAUAAAACAUAUAUAAACUCUAAACUCUAAACCUUAACCCUUAAAUAAUAAACAGUAAACAAUAAACCCUAAAUCCAUAAUCCCUAAACCACUAAUACCUCUAAAGCUCAACAAAAAAAGAGCUUGUUUUGCUAAACUAUUUGCGGCGUUUUCAAAAAAGCACCGCUAAUGCUUGACUUCUACGGCGUUUUUCUAAAAGCGCCAUUAAUGUGUCUAAAGUUAAAAAAAAAUGUCGUCGUUCGCUUAAAAACUUCUGCGGCGCUACCCAAAAGGCGCCGCUAGUGCUUGACUUUUGCGGCAUUUUCUAGAAAGCGCCACUAAUGUCUCUAAAGCUAAAAAAUAAAACGAUGUCGUUUGCUUAACACUUUUGCGGCGCGUUAGGGAAAGCACCGCUACUGCUUGACUUUUGCGGCGUUUUUUGAAAAGGCCACUAAUGUCUCUAAAGCUUAACAAAAAAACGACAUCGCUUGCUUAAAACUUUUGCGGCGCUUUUUGCUAAUACUUGACUUUUUGCGACGUUUUCUAAAAAGUGCCACUAAUGUCUCUAAAGCUAAAAAAAACGAUGUCGUUUGCUUAGAACUUUUGCAGCGCUUUUGAGAAAGUGCCGCUAAUACUUGACUUUUGCGGCGUUUCUUGAAAGCACCACUAACGUCUUUGAAGCUCAACAAGUAAACAACAUCGUUUGGCUUAACUCUUUUGCGACGCUUUUGAGAAAGCGCCGCUAAUGCUUGACUUUUAUGGCUUUUUUUAAAGGCACCACUAAUGUCUUUGAAGCGCAACAAGAAAACGACAUCAUUUGGCUUAACUCUUUUGCGGUGCUUUUAGGGAAGCGCCGCUUUUGCUUAUAUUUUGCGGCGUUCAUUUAAUUUCGCCGCGAAUGCUCGAUUUGUUGUGGCGUUUUUGUUUAAAACGCCGCUAUGAACGCUACUAAAAGCCUGUUUUGUUGUAGUGAAAGAUAAAGAAGAAAGUUUUAGAUUACUGGAGGAGAGAUAAAUAUGAUUUCAAGGUCAAAUUUUCUCAUCUCAAAAUUUUUUUAAUUUUAUAGAAUGAAUAUAUUUAAUUAUUUUAAGUUUAUUCCUUGUAUUUAAUUACUUUUGCAAUGCUAUUGUGUAUUUUACUUGCGAAUAAACAGAUAAUAUAUAUUUUCUCAUUAUUUUUUUAUUGUAUUUGCAAUUGGGUAAACCUAUAAUUUAGUCUUAAAGUUGUACCCAAUCAUUAUUUUGGUACUUAAAUUUGCAUUUUAUCAAUUUGGUAUCUAAAGUUUCAAAACAUUAUUUCCAUUGCUCCAAGACUUAAUUACAUUUAAAAAAACUGAUGUGGCACGCUCUCAACAAGUUACUUCAAUUAAAAAAUAAAAAAAAUUAGAAAAAUCUUAAGUUUUUUAAGAAAAUCAGAAAAAAAGUAUAAAAAUUUCCAAAACAUUUUAGAGCGACAUGGCUAGUUGGGAGCACGUCAUAUUAGUAAUUCUUUAAAUAUCAAAGUGAUAAAUUAUUUGUGACGAUUAGCAAAGUAAUAAUUAGACAUAAGUUUGAAAACUAAAAUAUGGUUGAACCCUUUGCAAUUUGCUAAUAUCAUAUGAUGUUGAAAUUUCUUAUUUUAUAACAAAAUGUGAUAAUUACAUUUUAGAAAUUACGGUUAUAAGUAUACAUUAUUAAAUUAAUUUUAAAAAUAUAUUUAUUUUAAAUUCAGAUUACAUUUCAAGAUUUUGAGUUCGGGUUAGAUGAAUUUAAGUUAUUGCAUUUUUUAUAGUUAAAUUCAAGUUAAUGCCAUCAUAAUUUUUUAGGUGUUCACUUGAACCCAAAUCUCUCAUGUCGAACUGGUCUUAUUUACUCGACCUUUGUAAUUUGCGAUUCUGUUUUCCUUGAAAGCCUUCUUUACUAUGGUUUGCCAUUGACAUUUUGGUGAUUGAGAUCAUGCUCCAAAGCCUCAUAAUAUAUGCAUAUUUGAAGGAUAAAUCUCCUUUGAAGGAGUAAUUCCAACCCCACCUAUCAAUUUAUGUUAGAAUAUUUUACUUAAUUUUAUAAUACAAAAUUAAAUAAUAUUAUAUAUUUAAGGUAAUUAUUUGGUUAUUAUAUUUAGUAAAAAAAUAAAUAUAAAAAAAUUUCUCAAAGGUCCUUAGUAAACAUUAAUUUCGUCUCUACGAUGGUUGUGAUUUAUUGGAAGUUCUUUAAGCAUAUAGUGUUAGCAUAAAUAAUGGCUUCUAAUAGAAAGCAACAGAAAAGAUCGAAUAUAAAUAGCUCCAGCCAUUACUGGAGCCAAAUGCCAAAAUCCAAAUGUUGUUACACCACUGUCAAGCAUGUCGAAUUUAGCUGUACGAAAAACUGAAAAUCGAUUAUGUAACAGCCCGAUUCUGGGUCUAGUCGGAAUAGUGGUUUCGGGACCACAAAUCCGACGAGAGAAAAUAUGAUUAUUAUUAUAUUUUCAUGGUCUACAAUUUUACGGAAAAAUUUCGUAAAAAUUUCGUUCGAAAAUUUCGACGUCUGGGCACUCAAUUUAGUCAAAAGGACUAAAUUGUAAAAAGUGAAAAAGUUGAGUUCUACAUGGUAGAAGUGUCUAAUUGUUAUGAAAUUAUAAAUUGGGGGUCCUUAUAUGGUAAUUAGACCAUUAGUUAAUUGAUGGACAAAAAUAGACAUAAGAAAUGAGUGAAAUAGAUUUUUUUUAAAUGGGGGCAUUUUAGUCAUUUAGUAAUAAAAAGAAUUAAAAAGGGAAAAAGAUGGCAAAAUGUGCUCAUCUUCUUCAUGGUGAACGAAAUCAGCAAGAGGAAGCCAUAGUUAUGGUUUUUAAGCUUCCAAGCUCAAUAGUAAGUGAUUCCAAGCCCCGUUUUUAAUGUUCUUUACAUUUUUGGAGUCCCGGUAACUUAAUUUAGCUUAUUCUAUCAAUAAUUCGUGUUAGGGUUCAUAUUUGGAAAAAUACCCAUAGGUGAAAUGUGUUUUUUUGCUGUUUUAUGGUGGAAUAUGAAGCUAGAAAUUAUGUUAAACAACGUUUUCUAAGCGAUUUUAAACGAAAACGGGUAAAUUGACAUAAUCGGUAAAAAUAUUUAAUGUUCAAAAGUAUGUGUUAGAGUGAGAAUUUGAUGUUUCUAUAGAAGGGAAAAAUGUUCAGCAUGUCAUAAAACCUAAGAAUAAGUGAUGAAGUUUAAUUUCCGAGCUUAGGGACAAAAGUGUAAAUAUGUAAAAGUUUGAGGGCAAAAUUGUAAAUUUUCAAAAAGUUGGGUGGAGGAUUAUUUUAAUAAAUGUGAACAUUAAACGAGUUAAAUUUGCUAUUAUAGAUCAAGAGAGACGGGAAGAUUAUCUCAAACGAGGAAAAGAAAAGAUAGUGGAGUGAAUUGCAAAAUUACGAUAUUUUGCACCGAGGUAAGUAAACAUGUGACUUAAUGUAUUAUUUUGAUAUUAUUUGAUUUGUGUUGAGAUUUAUUUGAAUAUAAAAUAAAUGUUUGGCAAGAUUCCAAAAAUGUUGUUAAAUUGGGAAAGGUGGUAAGGGGUUGCAAAACACGGUUUUUGGUUGAACACUCGGAAUAGGUCGAAGCAUAUUGCAUAUAAAGGGGUUGCUGUGUGUUGAUUCCCCGAUUCAUUGGUGGUUGCUAAGUGCUGAUUCCACCGCAUCUGAAAUGUGAAGGGGAUUGCUAAGUGCUGAUUCCCCCAACGGGUUGCUGUGUGCUGAUUCCCCGAUUCAUUGGUGGUUGCUAAGUGCUGAUUCCACCGCAUCUGAAAUGUGAAGGGGGUUGCUAAGUGCUGAUUCCCCCAAGGGGUUGCUGUGUGCUGAUUCCCCGAUUCAUUGGUGGUUGCUAAGUGCUGAUUCCACCGUAUUUUAAAUGUGAAAGGGGGUUACUAAGUGCUGAUUCCCCCGAGGGGUUGCUAAGUGCUGAUUCCCCUAUUCAUUGGUGGUUGCUAAGUGCUGAUUCCACCGCAUCUGAAAUGUGAAGGGGGUUGCUAAGUGCUGAUUCCCCCAAGGGGUUGCUGUGUGCUGAUUCCCCGAUUCAUUGGUGGUUGCUAAGUGCGGAAUCCACCGAUAACGGUUAACAUUCUGAGUGUUCAACGAGUAAAUUGGGAAGCUGAAUAUUCAUAUAUGUGGUGGACAAGUUUAUGGGAGGGAUAUUGGGUUUGAUACUUAAUCAACCCAUGUAUAAGAUGAGAGGAAAAUCAAAAAUACAAAAAGAGACAAUUUGAAUGCAAAACUGUUUUGAAUGACAGCAGUUGGGCAACUAUGAAAAAUCACUAUAAAUGGUGGGAAAUGAAUUAGAGGUUAAAUAAUAUAUGAAAUUAAAGCUGAAUGAGUCUAUUUUCAUAUGAAAGAAAUAGAGCAAGCAAAAGAGUUGUAUUUUUGGAGAUAUUUGAAUUUUACUGAGACAGGGCUGGAUUGAUUUCGAAAUCCCCUGUUCUAACUUUGGAAAAUCACCAAAAAUUAUAAAAAAAUAAUUAUGACUUGAAAUGUAUAUUCCUGGAUUCCUUUUUGAGUCUAUUUUUAAUAGAAACAAACGAGAACAUUGUUUGAAACUUUUACAGAUAGUUAUGUGAAUUUUUGUAAGGGAAGGUCAGGACUGUCGGGUAGUGAAAUAGGGGAAGCUUUAAAGAAUAAACUGUACUAAUUUGCUUGACAAAAAAUUCUGAAAAUUUUAUGAUAGAAAUAUAUAUGGGUAUAGUUUCAGGGAAAAUUUACAAAAUUCAAUUUGGAGCCCUGUAUCUCCGGAUAAAAAUAAAUUUGUGGUCAUGACGCAGAAAACCAGCUUGCUGGAAAUUACACAAACAAUGAAAUUUAUUUGUGAAUAAAUUUAUACUAUGGUGUAGUCAUGUGAGAAAUUUAUUUAUUUGUCAUAUGUUUACUUACUAAGCUAUAUGCUUACUCGUUUUUAUUUUUCCCUGGAUUAUAGUGAUUUCCAUCAACUCGGAAUUGAGACGGAGUCAGACAAUCAUCUACACUAUCAUCCACGUUUGGGUAUUUUGCUACUAGUAUUCCGGAAAUUAUGACAUGUAUAGAUGACUUAUGUAAUGGGGCGUCACCAUGUAAAUAUAUGUUAUGGUUCGAUUUAAAAUGUAGUGUUUAUUAAUGGUUAAAUUGUGUAUGUUUAUACAACUGAACUUGGUUGGAAUAUUGAAUUGUGUUUGAAAACUUGCAGGAGGUUUAAGCAAAAAUAAGCAGAAAUGCUGUCGAAAUUUUUUUAAAAAUUUAGUAAUACCUCAUACUCUAUUCCGAUCAGGAAUGCGGGUAAGGGGUGUUACAGAUUAAGUCUUCUAAGCACUCGAAAACCUCACUAGAUGAUGUAUAUAAUUCUUUAUCUUUCAAAUGAAAUUGCUUUAGUUUUUUUUUUUGUGCUUAACGACCUUAUGCUAGUUGGUAUUUAUAGUGGUGGUUCCUUAUAAAAAACACCAACUACACAUCCCACUAUCUCACAUACAAACCUGUGAAAGUUGAGGACAACAAAAGUGGGAAUGGGCAGCAAAACAUGAAGGUUAUUCCUACGAACCAAUAAUGGUUCCAACACUUUCCCACUUGGUUUGUAUUGCCAUGAGUACUUAAAGUCAAAAAAUAGUGCACAAAUCAUGGCGAUAUUUUCUCUUAGAAUUUGACUAGUAUCUUCCAUGUAUCACAAUAUAUCAUGUCUCAACGCUUUAGCCCAAGUUUUUUAAUAAAUAAACCCAAUGUUUAUUCCAAGUUCAAACUUUAGUGAUAGUUCUCGAAAUAAUCAAAUUAAAGUGUGCACAAAAUUUGCAUCAAAUUUGAGACACAUCAAACUUAAUAGAGUUUCUUUAUAAUCAUUUUUAUAACGAAAUUUACAAUGUGGGAACAAGUCCCAUAGUGACAACAUGAUCCUUAAAUUUGUGUGGUGGCAUGCCUUUAGUCAAAUGAUCAACUAACAUCUGCUCAGUGUUAAUGUGAUCAAUGAUCACUUCUUUUCUUUAACACAUUCCCUUAUGGCUAAAUACUUAAUGUCGAUAUGUUUAUUUCAACUUCCACUUUUAAUGUUCUUAGCCAUAAAUACAACACUUGAAUUGUUACAAUAUAUCAUUAAUACCUAGAAAUCGAAUCCUCAAGUCUAAACCCAAAAAUGAAUGAACCAUACUCCAUGUGAGGUAGACUUAAAACAUGACAUGAACUCAGCCUCCAUAGUGGAAGUAGUAGUUAAGGUUUGUUUGACACUCUUUCAAGAUAUAGCUGCGCCAGCAAAUAUAAAUAUGUAACCUGAUGUUAAUUUACAUGAAUCAACACAACUGAUAAAGUCUGAAUUGGAGUAGCCAAUCACCUCCAAAUUGUUUGAUCGUUUGUACACAAGCAUGUAGUACUUUGUCCAUUUAAAAUAUCUCAAAACUUUAUUUGCAGCUCUUCAGUGGUCAAUACCUGAAUUACUCUGAUAUCUUCCCAACUUCCAACUGCAAAUGCAAUGUCAGGUCUUGUGCAGACUUGAACAUACAUCAAGCUUCCAACAGCAAAAGCUUAUGCAAUGUUUUUCAUCUGCUUCCACUCAAAUUUUUUCUUUGGGCACUGGUUUAAAUUAAAUUUAUCACCUUCCAUGAUAGGAGCAACACUCAGUGAAUAAUCUUUCAUUCGAAAUCUUUCUAACACUUUGUUGAUGCAGGUUUCUUGAGAUAAACUUAAGAUACUGCGAUGCCUAUCACGAUGAAUCUUAAUGCCAAUGACAUAAGACGCAUCACCCAUAUCUUUCAUAUCAAAAUUUUUAGAAAGAAAUUGUUUCACCUCAUAUACCAUGUCCCUGUCAUUUGUUGCAAGUAUAAUGCCGUCCACAUAUAAAAUAAGGAAACAUAUUUUACUCCUAUUAACCUUUUGGUAUAUGCAUUGAUCCAUAAUAUUCUCAAACAAACCAAACGGAGAUAUUACUUCAUUGAAUUUUAAAUACCAUCGUCGGGAGGCUUGUUUCAAUCCAUAUAUAGACUUCUUCAGCUUGCAUACCAAGUGUUCACCUUCACUAGAGGAGAAUCAUUCAAGUUGUUUAAUGUAUACCACUUCCUUUAGGUCACCAUUGAGAAAUGAAAUUUUCACAUCCAUUCGAUGCAACUCAAGGUCAAAGUGAGCUACUAAUGCUAACACAAUGCACAAUGAAUCUUUCUUAGAUACAAGACUAAAAGUCUCAGUAUAAUCGAUCCCUUCUUGCUGAGUGAAUCCUUUCCCAAUGAGUCAAGCUUUAUGUCUUUCCAUGUUACAUAUUAAGUCUAUUUUUGUUUUGAAGACUCAUUUACAUCCAAUGGCGUUUACACCUUUAGGAAAUGACAAAAGAUCCCAAACAACAUUAUUUUUGAUGGAAUAGCAUUGUACCACAAUUUUGACUCUUUGCAACUAAUGGCUUGUGAAAAUGAUUCAGGAUCAUUCUCAGCUUUAAUAUUAUAGUCAAACUCUUACAGAUACACAAUAUAGUCAUUAGAAAUUGUUGAUUUCCUUUCCCUAGUAGACCUUCUCAAUAUUGAACCAACAUUUUCUCGUGGAUCAUGUUGUUUAGCUGAUAGUUCAAUAAUUUUUGAAUUUUCUUGAACUGCUUGAUCUACUAGAGUGUUUUCACCUGCUUGUGGAUUUUCAUUGAUUGGUUGUUCAACACCUGGUUGAGCUUGAGAGGUGUUAUGUAUGAUAACUAAUCUCACUUAAAGUGGAAGGUUAACUUACAAGAAUUGUGUCUCGAGACAGAUCGCUCCCACUGAUUAAGUCAUUCGCAAGAGAUUUUGCAUUUCUUGAUUCCAUAAUACCUAGUGUUUUAUAAACUAAAACAAUACCUAAAAGGUGCAAGUCUUGAAAUAGAAACUAAAUUUCUAGAAAAAUUGGGAAUAUAAAAAUUCUUUUCUAAAAUUAAAAUAAAGUCACUGCUAAGCACUAAUUCGCAUGUUCCAAUUGCUUCCACAUGCGACUCCAUCUUAUUUCUUGAAUAGAUGUGUCGCUCAGCUUCCACUGGUUCCCUCAGGUUUCUUAAUCUUUGUAAGGAAUUUGAUAUAUGAAUUGUAGAACCAGAAUCAGUCCACCAUGUGUUAUAACUGACAUCAACCAUAUUGGACUCAAAUCAAACAAGUGAGAUUGAUUUACCUUUAUUUUCAAGUCAGGUCUUAAACGUUACACAGUCUUUUUUUUAAGUGUCCCUUCUUUUUACAGAAAAAACACUUGGACUCUUUCUUUAUGUCAGUUUGGGGUUGCAUUUUGGCCUUCCCCUUUUUCUUGGCUUGGGCUGUCUUCUUUCCUUGAGUAAUCGACAAUGCACUCUCUCCCUUCUCCAGUAUGAGUCUAGCCUCUUCCUGAUCACACAUGGUCAAAAUCUCAUCGAUAGAACACUUAUCCUUGUGUGUUAUAGGAGAUCUUAAAUUGCUCGUACUGAGGUGGAAGAGUGUUCAAUAUAAUGUGCACCAAGAAAGAUUCAGACAUUUCAACCUCAACUGCUCUCAGUCGAGCUGCUAAAUCUCUCAUCUUUUUUAUAUGAUCAUGUACACCUUUCACGGUAGUGAGCUUCAUUGAUGUGAACUUCAUGAUUAGGGUGCUAGUUAAUGACUUUUGUGAAGUUUUGAAUUAUUUUUCAAUAGUUUUUAAUAAUUCUUGGACAUUCUCAUAAUGCUCAAUUGAGCCACAAACAUCAAUCAGAACCUUACUCUUUAUGAACAUGAUUGUAACAGCUCGAUUUUGACCCUAUUCGAAAUGGUGGUUUCGAGACCACGAAUCUGAGCCAGAGAAAUAUUUUAAAAUUUAUUUUUGGUGUUUAUACCGUGUGAAUUUGUGUAUGCCAAAUUUUCGGUUUGGAAUUUUAUCGUUUGAAUGUCUGAUUUAUUAAAACAACUUAAUUGUGUAAGUUAUGAAAGUUGCUAACUAUUUAUUAAAGUGUUAAUUUGCUAUUGUCUUUAUAGUGUGGGGUCCUUAAAAGGAAAUUAUUCCAUAAUUAAAAGAAUUGGACAUAUAUAAGUUUAUUUUAUAAUGAUUUUACAUUAAAUAAUAAAUGUUAAAUUUGUAAAUAUAUUAAAUAUAUUAAUAAAAUAUAUAAAAACAUGUAUUAGUUCAUCUUUAUUUUUUUAUUGACCGAAUAUAGCUAAAGAAAAGGAGAAAGAAAAGGUUUAAGGUUUCGGCGCUUUGAAGCUUGAAUUUAGGUAUGUGUUUAGCUCAUUUUUUUUGUUAAUUUUUACGGUUUUGAUAUCGUUGCUUCGAAUACUACUCGACCCAUGCUUGAAUUUUUAAAUUUGGUAAUGAUUUUGUAUUUUUGUCAUUGUUGAAAGCUUGUGACUUUUGUUUUAGAAGUUAGAAAAUAAAAGAAAUGAGGUAGAUAAACAUAUGUUGUAUUUGAAUUUUUGAUGAUUUUGAGUAAUUAGAGCUAAAUUGCAAAAAUAAUAAAUUGAGGGACUAAAAUGUGAAAUAAAUGAAAUGUAUGGACUUAUAUGAGCUUAGUGAAUAUUCGACCAAGCUAUUGUGUAAUGAAAUUUUGUUUAUUUUGUAUUUUGUGAAAUAGGGACUAAUUUGUAAUAAAUGUGAAAUGUUAGGGGUAAAAGUGUAAUUUACCUAUUUAUGUGUUUAUGGAUGAAUUUGAUGGAAUAUAUGAUUAAAUAAGCUUAAAUUAUACAAAUUUAGAUCAAGAAAAGAGGAAAUUGGAAUUGGAUCAGGGGAAUUUCUGCCUCACAAUCCGUGCGACCUUAGGUAGUCUCUUGUUUCCAAAAAGGCCUAAGUUAGCCUAACUCCCACGAGUUGAGGAUUCAAUAGAAUUCCCCUUUGAAAACUAACACAAACGAAAGCCACUCAAAGAUAAAACAAAGAUGAACAAAGAACGAUAUAAGAACAAGCCACAAAAUACCAAGAACACAAGAGAGAAGAGUUGGAGAAAAUACUCUCAAGAAUUCUUAUUACUCUGCCAAAACUUCUGUGAUUUACAAAUGAGGGGAGAGGCCUCUAUUUAUAGUAGAGCCUCCCCAAAUCCAACGGUACAGAUGGAAUAGUCAUCCCGGUUCAUCCGUCUUCGUCCGAGGUAAGUCUAUAAGCACAUAAAUGUUGUUAACUUUAAAUAAUUGUGAAUUUGAAAUGUUGAAUUGAAUUUAUGUGUAUAUAAAUAUGAGAUAGCCGAAUGUAUAUGUAUAUGUAUAUAGAAAUAAUAUGUAUAAGUUUGAUUCGAUCGAAAUACGACGUACGAAAGUCCUAAGUGAACCAAAGGAAUUCCGAUAAGUGUUAUUGUGUAAGACCCUGUGUGGGAUAGCGACAUCAAUUUGUAAUUGUGAGUAAGACCCUGUGUGGGAUAGCAUCAUCGCUAUGUGAUUACAUGUAAAACCACGUGUGGGACAUUGGCACUAUACGAUAAAUAUGAUUAUUCGAGUAUUCUAUUUAGUUUUGAAUGGUUCAGCAGGCAUGUAAUGGCCUAAAUUCAAGGUUAUCGAAACAGUGGUUUCGUAGCCACAAAUUUGAUUUAAAGAUAAAUUUAUUUUAAUAUUUUUGCAUGAAUAUUGAUAUCAUAGGAAAAUCGUAUGAAAAUAUAGAUAGAAGAAUUUUACCGAUUUAGUGGUUAGUUAGAAAAAGAAAUUAUUGAAGAAAUUGAGUAAAAACAAGGUAUUGAGACCUCGAUCCCGUAAAAUCAAGUCACAAAUAUUUUUAUAAAUAUUUAUGAAGUGUUAGUAAUAUGGUAUUAAAUUUUUGUUAGAAAAUUUCUACGUUUGGGUAGUUAAUUAAGUGAAAAAGAGUAAAUUGAAAAGGGUGUAAAAGUUACUAGAAGGAUUAAAUAAUUCAAUUGUUAAAUGAGAAGAGACAUAAAUUGCAAAUAAGCCCAAAAUGAGAUAUUUUGGGCGGCCUAAGCUAAGAAAAAUCAGGAGAAUUGGUGAAAUAAGGGUAAAAUGGGAAACUAACAAAUUUUACUAACAUAAAAAUAUGACCAAAUUGGAAUAUCUAGAAUUCUCUUCAUAUUUUCUUCAUUAUCAUCAGCCAAAAAACGUCCUAGGGGUUUAUUCAAGCCAGUACUUCAUAAUUUUUGCACCAAGUGAGUUAAUCCUUGCCUUUUUCUUAUAAUUUUUGUGUUUCUAAGACUUUUACAACUAGGUCCUAUUACUAAAUUCAUUAGUUUUUGAUUUUAUGAAUGAAAUUGAAAGUUUCUAUGAAUAUGUGCUGGAAGUUUAUGAUGAAAUAGCAUGAAAUUGAAGCUUUAAUUUGUUUAUGAGAUGAUUUUAUUAGGUAAUUUCAAUAGAAAUUGAUUUGUAGGACCUAAUUGUGAAAAAGUUUGGGAUCAAAGUCUAGUGCUAAAAUUCUAAUUUCCAAAGGUUAUAAAGUAGUUUAAAGUGAUAGAAUAAAGUGUUAAUUGAGAAAAAUCAGGUCAAUUAAGAGGUUAAUUGAGCAGGGAUGAAAUUAUCAAUUAUUGAAAGCUUAAGGGAAAAAUGGUAAUUAACACCAUGCACUAAAACAGUUUGGACAGCAACAGUAGGUUAACUUUGAAAAAUCACCAUAAAAUUGUGUAAAUUGAAUUAGAGGAUGAAAAAAAUAUUAAAAUAAAGCUUAUUGAGUCUGGUUUCUUAUAAAAGAAACGGUGUAAGCAAUGAAAUUGUAAAUCAUGAGAUAUAAUAGAUUUUGUGAGACAAUGUCAGAAUGAAUUCGGGUUCCCCUGUUCUGACUUUGGAAAAUUAUCAAAAAUUGGAGAAAAAUAAUUAGGGGCUUAAAUUUAUAUGUUUAAAAUACUUAAUGAGUCUAUUUUCAAAAUAAACAAACGAGAACAUCAUCUGAAUUCUGUACAAUGAGAUAAUUAAUUUUUAGUGAAGAGGGGUCAGAACUGUCGAACAGUGAAAUAGGGGAAACUUUAAAGAAUAAACUGUACUUAUUGGCUAAACCAAAAAUUCUGAAAAUUUUAUGGCUAAACCAAAAAUUCUGAAAAUUUUAUGGUAAGAAGAUAUGUGAGUCUAGUUUCAGGGAAAAUUAGCGGAUCUUAAUUUGGAGUUCUGUAGCUCAAGAUAUAAAUAAUUUAGUGAUUAUGACUCAAUGAGACAGAUUUGAAUGCACUAUAAAUAAUAAUGGAAUUAUAGAGAAUGUUAUAUAUGAACAUGAAAUGUAUUAGAUUAAUGAUUAAAUUUAUUUAUUUAGAUCCAAAAAAUUCAAAUACGAAGCUAGAUCGAGGAAAAGAAAAGGUUUGGGAUUAGUAGAUUUUUGUUUACGAACAAGUAUCGAGGUAAGUUCGUGUAACUUGAAUUAUAUUCUUAAAUGCUUGAAAUAUAUUUUUCUUGAUGUGAAUAUGAUUCGGAUGUUUUAAAAAAAUUCUUAUGAAUUCGAUAUAGUCUCGGUUUAUUCCCGAUGUAUGUUUUGGGCAUUGGAGGUCCAUCCAAGGGAUGUCAUGACAUGUUUCGAAAAAUGAAUAUUAUUUAACUCGUAAUAAUGGAAAGUUAAUUUUGUAAAAUUUGGUAAUGCCUCAUACCUUAUUCCGGCUGCGAAUACGGGUAGGAGGUAUUACAUUUGUUGGUAUCAAAGCUACGGUUUAGUCGGUUCUCACACCGACGUAACAAAUACGAGAUUAGCUAUACAUGCCAUUUAAAUUAUUAUUGAUAGUAAAUGCCUGCCGAUCGAGCUCAACCCGAGGAAGCCAGGAGUCAUGCUCCGGCUUCAGAACAAAGAGAAUUUGAAGCUACUAGUAGUAGAAGGUACUAGAGAAUGAGCCAAAGUGAAGAGGCUAAAAUGGCCUUCUAUCAAAUGAUGAAUGAAUGGUUUACUAAGUAUAGAAAAACUAACCCUGUAGUGCAGUAAGCUCAAGCUCCUCCUCCUCCUCCCCCACCGGUUCUCGAGAUUCCACAGGGUACAUGUACUGAAUCUAUCAAAAAAGGAAAAGCUCCAGUUGAUAAAAUAAGAAAAUAUGGGGCUGAAGAAUUCAGAGUCGCACUUGAUGAUGAUCCCGAACGGGCUGAGUUUUGGUUAGAAAAUACUACUCGGGUUUUAGAGGAAUUAUCUUGCACACCAGAAGAGUGUUUGAAAUGUGCAAUACCAUUGCUAAAAAAUACAGCUUACCAUUGGUGGACUACUAAAACUUCAAUUGUUCUGAAAAAACAAAUUACAUGGGAAUUCUUUAAGACCGAGUUUAGAAAGAAAUAUAUCAGUCAGAGGUUCCUCGAUCAGAAGAGAAAAGAAUUUCUUGAGCUGAAACAGGGUAACAGAUCAGUACUUGAGUAUGAAAAAGAAUUUGUCCGAUUGAGUAAAUAUGCUCGGGAAUGGGUACAAUUAGAAGCCGAAAUGUGCAAACGAUUCAAAGAAGGGUUGAAUGAAGAAAUUAAGCUAUUGAUCGGAAUUCUUGAAAUUCGAGAGUUUGCUACCCUUGUAGAGCGAGCUUAUCAAGCAGAAGAACUGAGCAAAGAAAAGAAACAGGUUGGGAGGGAAGCUCGAAUUCUUUGUAAAAGACCGAUGGGAAAAUCUCAGUUUUCUACCUCAAAGAUUGAAGAAAUUCCAGGAUUGCUCUACCUCAGCUACUAGGUAUUCUGGUAGAGAGCGAGGUUUUCAACGCACUAAUCCAAGACCUUCCACUCCAUCAGUGACCAGUGUUGGCAGUGUUGGUACCCCUAAGCCGAGAUGCCAGUACUGUAAUAAAACUCAUUUUGGAAAAUCUCGAUUAAAGAGCGGGGCUUGUUACCGAUGUGGUUCUUUUGAUCAUUUCCUCAGAGAUUGUCCAGAAAGGGGUGAAAAAGAAAUUGAACAGAUAUCAAAGCCGAGUAAUCUAGUUUCGAGGGGUAGACCACCUCGACCAUCUGGUAAUGUCAGUGGUAGUCGAUGAGCUACAAAAGAUACUGUAGGCAGGCCUGAGGCGCGAGCACCUGCUAGGACAUAUGCCAUCCGUGCUAGAAAAGAUGCGUCAGCACCCGAUGUUAUUACUGGUAGAUUUUCUUUACUUGAUACUGACAUUACUUCAUUGAUUGAUCCUGGCUCUACACAUUCAUACAUAUGCACAAAAUUAGUAUGUGUUAAAAAUUUAUCUGUUGAACCUACUGAAUUUGUGGUUAAAGUCUCGAACCCCCUGAGCCAGUUUGUGAUAGUGGAUAAAGUUUGUAAAAAUUGUCUAAUGAUGGUAAAAAGUAUUUGUUUUCUAGUUGACUUGAUGUUAUUGCCUUUUGAUGAGUUCAAUGUGAUAUUGGGUAUGGAUUGGCUAACUCAACAUAAUGCAGUAGUAAACUGCAGACAGAAAUAUAUUAUGCUGAAGUGUCAGAAUGGAUAAUUACUUUGGGUUAAAUCUGAUCAGACAGAAGAAUUAUCUAAUCUGAUUUCGGUUAUGACAGCUCAGAGGUGUGUCAGAAAAGGGUAUGAUGCUUAUUUGGCAUAUGUGUUAGACUCUAAGGUAUCUGAGUCAAAGAUACAGGCAGUGCCAUUUGUAUGUGAAUUUUUCGAUGUGUUUCUAGAGGAAUUACCAGGGUUGCCACUAGAAAGAGAAGUGGAAUUUUCUAUAGAUUUGAUUCCGGGAACUACUCCAAUCUCCAUAGCUCCGUAUCAUAUGGCUCCUACGAAAUUAAAGGAGUUAAAGACACAGUUGCAAGAACUUGUUGACAGGGGUUUUGUUCGGCUAAUUCAUUCACCUUGGGGUGCUCCAGUUCUAUUUGUGAAAAAGAAGGACGGGUUCUUAAGAUUAUGUAAUGAUUACCAACAGCUCAACAAAGUCACUAUAAAGAAUAAGUACCCAUUGCCUCGAAUUGACGAUCUGUUUGACUAGUUGAAGGGUGCCACUGUAUUUUCAAAGAUUGAUAUCUGAUCGGGCUACUAUCUAUUACGGGUAAAAGAGUCAGAUGUACCGAAAACAUCUUUUAGAACUAGGUAUGGGCAUUUUGAGUUUCUAGUUAUGCCGUUUAGGCUGACUAAUGCACCUACAGUAUUUAUGGAUCUGAUGAAUCAGAUAUUUAGAUCGUACUUAGACAGGUUCGUGGUAGUUUUUAUUGUCGAUAUCUUGGUCUAUUCCCGAGAUGAAAAUGAGCAUGUAGAACAUUUGAGAAUUGUGUUGUAAAUUCUGCGAGAGAAGCAGCUAUAUGCUAAAUUUAGUAAAUGUGAAUUUUGGCUUCGAGAAGUGGGUUUUCUCGGACAUAUUGUAUCCACAGAAGGUAUCAGGGUAGAUCCGAGUAAAGUCUCAGCAAUUGUCAAUUGGAGUCUACCGAAAAAUGUAUCCGAAGUUAGAAGUUUCUUGGGUUUAACUUGUUAUUAUCGGAGAUUUGUACAGGGGUUCUCUAUGAUAGCUUUUUCGAUGACCCAUUUAUUAUAGAAAGAUGUUAAAUUCGAGUGGUCUGAUGAAUGCCAGCAGAGUUUCGAUCGAUUGAAAGAUUUGUUAACGAAAGCACCUAUGUUGGUACAGCCUGAACCGGGUAAAGAAUUUAUUAUUUAUACUGAUGCAUCAUUAAAUGGUUUAGGUUGUGUCUUGAUGCAAGAAGGUAAAGUUAUAGUCUAUGCUUCGAGACAACUUAAGACACAUGAAAGAAAUUACUCGGUGAAUGAUCUUGAAUUAGCUGCCAUUGUAUUUGCAUUAAAAAUAUGGCGGCAUUACUUGUAUGGUGAGAAAUGUCAUAUUUUUACUGAUCAUAAAAGUUUGAAAUAUCUAAUGACACAGAAAAAUCUGAAUUUGAGACAGUGUAGGUGGCUUGAAUUGAUAAAGGACUAUGAUUUGAUUAUUGAUUACCAUCCGGGUAAGGCUAAUGUUUUUGCUGAUGCUUUAAGUCGAAAAUCUCUGUUUGCUUUGCGAGCUAUGAAUGCCCGAUUGUCUUUGGUUGAUGAUGGUUCAGUCGUAGCUGAGUUGAGAGUUAAACCGACAUUUCUACAACAAAUAUAUGAAGCUCAGAAAAAUGAUGAGAAGCUACAGGCUAAACGGGUACAAUGUGAGUCAGGUAAUGAUUUAGAAUUUUAGUUGGGACUGAUGGUUGUUUAUUAUUCAGAGGCAGAGUAUAUGUACCAAAGAAUUCAGAGCAUGUAUAGAAGAUUUUACACGAGGCACACAGUGGUAUUAUGUCCGUACAUCCGGGAGGUAAUAAAAUGUAUAAUGAUUUGAAAAAAUAUACUGGUGGCCAAGUAUGAAACAUGAUAUUUCUGAGUUUGUAUCAAGAUGUCUGAUAUGUCAACAAGUCAAAGCAGAACAUCAGGUACCUUCAGGAUUGCUCUAUCCAAUUACUAUACCGGAAUGGAAAUGGGAAAGUAUUACUAUAAAUUUUGUGUUGGGAUUACCAUUGUCACCAAAGAAGAAAGAUUCCAUUUGGGUGAUCGUUGAUCGAUUAACAAAAUCAGCAUAUUUUAUCCCGGUACGUAUAGAUUAUUCUCUAGAUAAUGUGGCUGAACUGUAUAUAUCUGAGAUUUUCAGGCUACAUGGUGUGCCAAUCUCUAUUAUCUCUGAUAGAGAUUCCCGUUUUACAUCUCGUUUCUAGGACAAAUUGCAAGAAGCCUUGGGUACUCAAUUGCAUUUCAGCACUGCAUUUCAUCCGCAGACAGAUGGCCAAUCUGAGCGUGUAAUUCAGGUACUGGAAGAUAUGCUCCGAUGUUGAAUAUUAGAGUUUGAAGGUAAUUGGGAGAAGUAUCUACCUUUGAUUGAAUUUUCUUACAAUAACAGUUAUCAGUCCAGUAUUAAAAUGGCUUCGUAUGAAGCUUUGUAUGGUAAAAAAUGUAGAACAGCGUUAUAUUGGACAGAGCUCAGUGAAAAGAAGAUACAUGGGGUUGAUUUGAUCCGGGAAACAGAAGAAAAAGUAAAAGUGAUUCGGGAUAGUCUAAAAGCAGCUUCCGAUCAUUGGAAGUAGCUUCCGACCGUCAGAAGUCAUAUGCUGAUCUUAAACGAAAAGAGAUUGAAUUUUAGGUGGGUGAUAAGGUAUUCCUAAAAGUGUCUUCUUGGAAUAAAGUUCUCCGGUUCGGUCGAAAGGGUAAAUUGAGUCCAAGAUUUAUCGGGUCGUAUGAAAUCAUAGAAAGAAUUGGACCGGUCGCUUAUCGAUUGGCAUUACCACCGGAACUCGAUAGAAUUCAUAAUGUUUUUCAUGUGUCUAUGCUACGACAGUAUUGAUCAGAUCAUUCACAUGUUAUAUCUCCAUCAGAAGUGAAGAUUUAGCCACAUAUGACUUACAGUGAAGAACCGGUCAAGAUAUUAGCACGAGAAUUAAAGGAGCUUAGAAAUAAAAAGAUAAAUUUGGUGAAAGUAUUAUGGAAAAAGAACGGGAUUGAGGAAGCAACAUGGGAACUGAAGGAGGUAAUGAGGAAACAAUACCCGAACCUCUUUACUGUAAGAUUUUCGAGGACGAAAAUCCUUAAAGGAGGGGAAAGUUGUAAUGGCCUAAAUUCAAGGUUAUCGGAACAAUGGUUUCAUAGCCACAAAUUUGAUUUAAAGAUAAAUUUAUUUUAAUAUUUUUGCAUGAAUAUUGAUAUCAUAAAAAAAAUCGUAUGAAAAUAUAGAUAGAAGAAUUUUACCGAUUUAGUUGUUAGUUAGAGAAGGAAAUUAUUGAGGAAAUUGGGUAAAAAUAAGGUAUCGAGACCUCGAUCUCGCAAAAUCGAGUCAAAAAUAUUUUUAUAAAUAUUUGUGAAAUGUUAGUAAUAUGGUAAUAAAUUUUGUUAGAAAAUUUCUACGUUUGGGUAGUUAAUUAAGUGAAAAGGACUAAAUUGAAAAGAGUGUAAAAGUUACUAGAAGGAUUAAAUAGCUCAAUUGUUAAAUGAGAAGGGACAUAAAUUGAAAAUAAGCCCAAAAUGAGAUAUUUUGGGCAUAAGCUGAGAAAAAUCAGGAGAAUUGUGAAACAAGGGUAAAAUGCGAAAAUAAUAAAUUUUACUAACAUAAAAAUAGGACCAAAUUGGAAUAUCUAGAAUUCUCUUCAUAUUUUCUUCAUUAUCAUCAGCCAAAAAACAUCCUAGGGGUUUAUUCAAGCUGAUACUUCAUAAUUUUUGUACCAAGUGAGUAUUUUCUUGCCUUUUUCUUGUAAUUUUUGUGUUUCUAAGACUUUUACAACUAGGUCCUAUUACUAAAUUCAUUAGUUUUUGAUUUUAUGAAUGAAAUUGAAAGUUUCUAUGAAUAUGUGCUGGAAGUUUAUGAUGAGAUAGCAUGAAAUUGAAGCUUUAAUUUGUUUAUGAGAUGAUUUUAUUAGGUAAUUUCAAUAGAAAUUGAUUUGUAGGACCUAAUUGUGAAAAAGUUUGGGAUCAAAGUCUAGUGCUAAAAUUCUGAUUUCCAAAGGUUAUAAAGUAGUUUAAAGUGAUAGAAUAAAGUGUUAAUUGAGAAAAAUCAACUCAAUUGAGAGGUUAAUUAAGUAGGGAUGAAAUUAUCAUUUAUUGAAAGCUUAGGGGAAAAAUGGUAAUUAACAUCAUGCACUAAAACGGUUUGGACAGUAGCAGUAGGUUAACUUUGAAAAAUCACCAUAAAUUGUGUAAAUUGAAUUAAAGGAUGAAAAAAAUAUUAAAUUAAAUUUUAUUGAGUCUAGUUUCUUAUAAAAGAAACGGUGUAAGCAAUGAAAUUGUAAAUCAUAAGAUAUAAUAGAUUUUGUGAGACAAGGUCAGAAUGAAUUCGGGUUCCCCUGUUCUUACUUUGGAAAAUCAUCAAAAAUUGGAGAAAAAUAAUUAGGGGCUUAAAUUUAUAUGUUUAAAAUACUUAUUGAGUCUAUUUUCAAAAGAACCAAACGAGAACAUCAUCUGAAUUCUGUACAAUGAGAUAAUUAAUUUUUAGUGAAGAGGGGUCGGAACUGUCGAGCAGUGAAACAGGGGAAACUUUAAAGAAUAAACUCUACUGAUUGGCUAAACCAAAAAUUCUGAAAAUUUUAUGGCUAAACCAAAAAUUCUGAAAAUUUUAUGGUAAGAAGAUAUGUGAGUCUAGUUUCGGGAAAAAUUAGCGGAUCUUAAUUUGGAGUUCUGUAGCUCAAGAUAUAAAUAAUUUAGUGAUUAUGGCACAAUGAGACAGCUUUGAAUGCACUAUAAAUAAUAAUGGAAUUAUAGAGAAUGUUACAUAUGAACAUGGAAUGUAUUAGAUUAAUGAUUAUAUUUAUUUAUUUAGAUCCAAAAAAUUCAAAUACGAAGCUAGAUCGAGGAAAAGAAAAGGUUUGGGAUUAGUAGAUUUUUGUUUACGAACAAGUAUCGAGGUAAGUUCGUGUAACUUGGAUUAUAUUCUUAAAUGCUUGAAAUAUAUUUUUCUUGAUGUGAAUAUGAUUUGGAUGUUUAUUAUAUUAUAAUUGAUGAAGUAUUGAUAUUCUUGAUGAAAAUAGAAAAUAAAUCCCGGUUGAAUGAAAGGAAAAUUCGAUGGAUCUUUGAAAAGGAAUUGACGGUAAAAAGGAUCUUGCCCUGAUGGGUGAUCCUAUCCUGAUAUAGCCCUCCCGAAGAAUAUGUGGAAAAUAGAUUUAGCCCGAACAGGUAAUCCGAAUUAGGGUCUGAAUUUAGCCUGGACUGGUAAUUCAGAUCCAAGCUCAUUAGAAUAAUUAUCAUUGUUGGGGAUUUAGCCUGGACUGGUAAUCCCGACAAUACUCUAUGAGUUUAUAUUACAAGGGAUUUAGCCUAGACUGGUAAUCCCGCUAUAAGGAUGAGGUUCGCGGGAGUGUGCUCUCUGAAAUGGAAAUGUGCGCACAUGAAUAUGAAUUGACGGACCCGGACCGUUACGCUAAAGUGUACCCCCAAAAAUCCAUCGAAAUUUCGAGAAAUUCAACGUGAUAAAUAUGGAAAAUAACAAGGGAAUGGAAAUCAUGGUAUUGAUGAGCUCAUCAAUCAUGGUAUAUAUUAUUGAUACAUGGAAAUUAUUGGACUAAUUUGAAUGUUGAGUUGUGCAUGAUAGGGGAAUAAUGUAUUGAAUGGGUGUAUGAAUGUUUAUCGCAUUGUAUUGAAAAUAUUAGGUAAGUAUAAUUCUUGUUACAUGAAGUUAGUACGCACAAAGUGCUUACCCUGUUUCUUUUUCCCCUGUUUUGUAGUGUUAAGAGCUCGGAGGUCGGAUUCGGUCAGAGACGUAUCACACUGUCAACCUCAAUAUUUCGGUAUAUAAAGAAACUUUAUUUUGGAAAUCAAUGGCAUGUAUAAGCUAAUAAAGUAAAUGUUAAUGUGAAAUGAAUAUAAUGUUAGCCAUUCGUAUGGCUAACAAAUGUUGGUUUUGGUAUGUGAUGAGGUUAUCUUAAAAAUAUGUUUGAAUCUAUCUUGAAAAUAUGUUGAAAUGGAUUGGUUGGUUUGGAUUAGUCUCAGUUUAAAAUUGCAGGGAAGGUUAGAAAUUUAUAAAGGGAUUAUAUUGAGUUUAAAAAAAAUUCUUAUGAAUUCGAUAUAGUCUCGGUUUAUUCCCAAUGUAUGUUUUGGGCUUUGGAGGUCUAUCCAAGGGACGCCAUGACAUGUUUCGAUAAAUGAAUAGUAUUUAACUCGUAAUAAUGGAAAAUUAAUUCGAUAAAAUCUGGUAAUGCCUCAUACCCUAUUCCGGCGACGAAUACGGUAGGGGGUAUUACAAGGCAUUAUCAAGUUGUGAUUGAUUGUGAAAUCGAGCUGAAAGGGUCAAGUAAGUGUUAAGUUCAAUGUUAAUAAAAAAAAUAAGGUAAGCUUGGUAUUUGAAAUGGUGAUAUAAGUUAUACAUGAUAUAAAGUGAAUUAUAUGUAUUUACAUGAAUGCUCAUAUUCGGCUAAAUGAUGUAUUUGUGAUAUUAAAAGUGAGAGUAAUGUGUGCUUAUGAGUAUAUGUGCAUUCGGUCAGAUGAUGUUAAAUUACUAAUAUUUUCUGAUGUUAUAUGAAUUCGCUAGUUUGAUAAGUGUAGAUGUGAUUAAGUGCUACUUGAUUCGACCUAGUUAAAUUAUAUUAGAUAUCUUUGAAAUGAUUUAUUUUCGUAUAACUUAGUGAUAACACUCUAGAAUAACGCAUUUUUAUGUAUUAAUUAUGUGUUUAUUCUGAGUAUGAUCCUGCUAAUUUUAGCUAUUUAUGAUCUUUUAUCUCAUAGGGACUAAAUUUGAGGCAAAAGCAAAAUUAAAGGCCAAAAGCAUGCAUUUAGAGAUAAAAUGGGCUAAGGUGCAAUACAAGGAAAAGUUGGUGCCAAAAGUGCAAGCAUGGAGGACACAAGGGUUGAAAUGCAAAAAGAAGAGAUUUUAUUCUAUCAGACUUUAUUUUAAUUAUAUUAGGAUAAUUAAUAUUAAGAUAAUUAUUAAGGAUUAUUUAAUUUUAGGAUUUAAUUUUAUUUAUCUUUAUUUAUCUUCAAUUAAAUGUAUUUAUCUUCUGGGAGUUUAAGUAGGAUUAGGCUAUCUUCCCUAGCACUAUAAAUAGGGGGUGAAGUGACUCAAAAGGGAUCCAUCUUUUUCUGUAAACACUCUCUCCCAAAAGUCUAGGAUUUUGUUCUUCUCAUAUUGCCUUUCAAUAAAAUCUCCAUUUUUAUUUUAUUUAUUUUCUUUUCCACCACAACCAUGAGCCACUAAACCUAUCUAGCUGAAAGUUGUCGGUAUUCCCCAAAAAGGGUUCUUGAGGCUUAAAGUCUGUACUUAGCCUCCUCGCCGAGUAUUCAUCAUUUCUCCGCACUACGGGGCUGAUGCUUCCGUCCAUGUCCCUUAAGAAGUAAGCUUUUCAACAUAUACAAAGGCGGCUGCUUUGUAUGUUUUGGGAAGUUUGCACAGUCGGUUCGUUAGCUUACUACAUCAGAGGUUGGCGAGCCUAAGAGACAAAAUGGCGUAGGAUUUUCCAUUGAGAAGCGUUGAUCUAGCAUAAGACGAACCCACAGAAACGAUUGUUGGCUAGAAUCAGGUUCCACUAAAUUGUAAGUCUAAAUUCUUGGAGCUGGUGGUCAUAGGCGUCCUCUUCCACUAUAACUGGCUUAUUCGGUUUGGGAAGGAUCAUCUAAAAGCCGAGGAUGGAACCCAAGACGGAACGAGACAACUGGAGGCUGUAACCCCCUAUAAGAAUUUCAUUUCUCUCAACUUUAUUUUUAAUUUCUCGAAUUUUUGAUUCAAUAUUCUUAAUUCUAUUUUUAUUUUAUUUUUCAUUUCUAGAUCUAGACAUUUAAUUCUGUUAUUUUUUUAUUUUAUUUUUUCUAGGAGCACAGGUUUUUUUGGGCAAUAUUCUGCCUGGGAUUUCACGGAACAAGAUAUUGUGCAAGUCCAGUCCUUGAGGAUUUGACCCUACUUCCCUUUUACUAUUCUUUUUCAUUAUUUAUUAGGGAUAGGAUAUUUUUGGCGCUUUUAACAACCGCAUCAAAUUUUGGCGCCAAUAUCUUGUUCUGUGAAAUCCCAAGCAGAAUCUUGCCCAAGAAAACUUGCGUUCUUGGAAAAAAAUAAAAUAAAUAAAUAACAUAAUUAAAGGUUUGGAUCUGGAUACGAAAAAUAAAAUAAAAACAUAAUUAAAAAUAUUGAAUCGAAAAUUCGAGAAAUUAAAAAUAGAGUUGAGAGAAAGGAAAUUCUUAUAGGGGGUUCCAACCUCCAGUUGUCUCGUUCCACCUUGGGUUCAAUUCUCGGCUUUUAGAUGAUCCUUCCCAAACCGAAUAAGCCAGUUAUAGUGGAAGAGGACGCCUACGACCACCAGCUCCAAGGAGUUAGACUUACGAUUUAGUGGAACCUGACUUUAGCAAACAAUCGCUCUUGUGGGUUCGUCUUAUGCUAGAUCAACGCUUCUCAAUGGUGAAUCUCAUGCCAUUUUGUCUCUUGGGCUCACCAACAUCUGACGCAGUAAGCUAACGAACUGACUAUGCAAUCUUCCCAAAACAUACAAAGCGGCCGCCUUUGCAUACGUUGAAAAGCUUACUUCUUAAGGGACAUGGAUGGAAGUGUUAGCCCCAUAGUGCGAAGAAAUGAUGAAUACUCAGCGAGGAGGCUAAGUACAGACUCUAAGCCUUAAGAACCCUUUUUGGGGAAUAUCGACAACUUUCGGCUAGAUGAGUUUAGUGUCUCAUGGUUGUGGUGGAAAAGAAAAUAAAUAAAAUAAAAAUGGAGAUUUUAUUGAAAGGCAAUAUGAGAAGAACAAAAGUCUAGACUUUUGGGGAGAGAGUGUUUACAGAAAAAGAUAGAUCCCUUUUGAGUCACUUCACCCCCUAUUUAUAGUGCUAGGGAAGAUAGUCUAAUCCUACUUAAACUCCCAAAAGAUAAAUACAUUUAAUUGAAGAUAAAUAAAAUAAAAUAAAAUCCUAAAAUUAAAUAAUCCUUAAUAAUUAUAUUAAUAUUAAUUAUCCUAAUAUAAUUAAAAUAGAGUCUGAUUGAAUAAAAUCUCUUCUUUUUGCAUUUCAACCCUUGUGUCCUCCAUGCUUGCACUUUUGGCACCAACUUUUCCUUGUGUCGCACAUUGGCCUAUUUUAUCUUUAAAUUCAUGCUUUUGGCUCUUAAUUUUGCUUUUGCCUCAAAUUUAGUCCCUAUGAGAAAAAGAUCAUAAAUAGCUCAAAUUAGCAAGAUCAUACUCAGAAUAAAUACAUAAUUAAUACAUAAAAAUACGUUAUUCUAGAGUGUUAUCACUUACUAAGCUAUUCAAGCUUACUGUGUGUGUGUUUGUUCGUUGUUUUAUAGUUUUGGAAUCAAGUUACGAGCUCGAGGAUCGUCAGAGUAAUCAGACAUACUAUCGAUCUCUAAUUUGGUAUUUUAAAAGUUGAACCUUAUACUUAUGGCAUGUAUAGGCUAGCUAGUGUUUUGGGUUAGUUUUGAAUUUGUAAAUAUUAAACCAUGCGAAAAUGGCUAGAUAUGAUGCUUAAGUUUAAGCAAAUUUCGGUUAUGGUAUAUAUAUAUGUGUGGCGUAUUUGGUAUAUGUAUGAUGAUAUAGUCUUGAAAGUUGGCAUGAUUUGCAAUUAUGGUUUGUUAUAAUUUGAUUUAAGAGAAUUAGGUAUAGUUGAUGAAUUAGUUCUUAUUGAUGACUAUAAAUUACCUUGUGAUUUGGUAGUGUUUAAAUCAUGGAACUAAAUGUCCAGUUAUAUGUUAACGUUAAUUUUUCUUAUAUUUGUUAAGUGUGGAUUAUUGCUAUGGUAUUAUACUUAAAUUGAUAUACGUAUUGCAAUUAGAAUUGAUAAUUGGUAUAAUGAGUCUUGUUUACUAAAUUAGUUUUAUAAGUGACCUAUGAUAUGUUACAGGAUUAAUAUUAUUUAUACAUAUGUAUAGGUCCGGUUUUGGCAUGUAAUGCAUUAGUAGAUUUGUUUUCUAUAUUAUAUAUAUUUAUAUAUAAUGAUUAUGUUUUAUGAGAUGUCUUGGCAUGUAAAUGAAGUGUUUGUUUUAUAUUUGAAAAUGACUAGGAUACGGCUUAGUAAGAUAGUAAAUUAAUAAAUGACAUAUUUGUGCAUAUGUGUAUGUAUUAGAUUAUGGAUUUAAAAGAUGUGAUCAACAAUGAUGUAUGGUAAUUUAGCAAAAUUAGACUCGUAUUAUUGGAAAGUUGAUGUCCGUUUGGGUAUAAACAUUUGCGCAUAAUUGAAUGAUUAUAAUGGUAUAUUUUCAUUUAUGUUUUGGCUAAGCAUUGAACAAAAAGGCUAAAUAAUAGUAAUGUACCGAUUGUGAUAUGGUCAUAUGUUGUGGUUUGACUUGCUCGUUUUAUAUGUAUAUUGUAAUUAAUAAAAUUGCUUAUUUUGAUAUGCGCAUAGGUUUAUAUAGGGAAGUGUUAUUUUGAUACUUUGUUUAUGUAUUAAAUGAAUUCGAAUAUAUAUUAAUUCCGUGUCAUGAAAUGUUUUAAAGUCGGUUGGGUUUAAGAGAUUUGACCAUGAUUAUGUGUAUAUACAUGUGUUAGUUCGAAAGUUGUGUCGGGUCUGGUAAUGCCUCGUAACCCCAUUUCGGCGACGGAUACGGGUUAAAGGUGUUACAAUGAUACUUAAGUGAUUAGAUCGUUCCAAUUUUUCAUACAGAGCAAGAUCAACUUAAGUGUUGGUUUUAGUAAUAUGUGGCUCAAAUUUUCUUGUGGCAUAGUCAAUAUCCAAGCACCCCAACUAGAGAAGAAUAUUCUCCUUCCAGUUUAAAGUUCUCACUAGUUAAUUUAGGGAUGUCUAGUUUAUUAUCAAACAUAUUCACAGGUUGUAAAACUACAAAAUGAAUAGACAUACAUGCUUAAAAUUUGAGGCAAACAUAAAUCAUAAUUGACCAAUGCAAAUUAUGUAAAUAAUGAAUCUAGUGUCAUAAAAAUUACCUGUAGGCUAAAUUUUUAAUUCAAUUAGAUCAAUUUUAUGAUAGAAUUAUUUACUAUCCUUUUGAUAAAAAAUAUUAAAUUCAUUUUCAUAAUCCCGGUAAGUAACUAUAAAAGGGCAUCUAAUAAUUUUAUCUUAAUAAAUUAUGCAAUGGGAUUUAAUACCUAUGUUGUCCGAAUGUGAUUUUUAACUUUAAUAAUUUUAUUUAACAAAAGAUGUUGUAGCUAGUCUUUAACUAAAUAAAGUUAUGAAAAUCACUUUACUAGAUAUUAAUUCUUAAAAUUUAUUCAAGAUUGUUGUUAAGUCAUUAUGCAACAUCUAAUGUCUAUAAACCUUAUGAGAUCCUUACUACAAUAAAUAAUUUUAUUGCUAAUAUUGUGACUAAUUCUCUAAUUAAAUAAAAUUAUUUGAAUACCCAGACAUAUAUUCUAAAGUUUUAUUGCUAAAUACCUUAUGCAAUAAGUCUAAAAUUUUUAUGCACCUAAAAACUUAUGUAAUUAAUAACCAGAUAAUUCACGUACAACCAUUUACUUCAGGCACAUAAAAAAUAUUCAAAUAACAAAUUUCUAAAAUUUUUCUUUAAAUUAUUUAUAACAUAAUUAAUUUUAGAAAUUUUACUUUAAUAAAAUCUAAUGAUUAAUUCAAAGAAACAUGACAUUGUUAUUUUGAGAAAUUUACAAACUUUUAAAACAAGAUAAAGCGGAGAUUUAUCAUACUCUGAUACAAAAUGGUAGCAUAAAUAACAAAUUACAAUAUAAAAUAAUGGAAAAGAUCGACAUAAAUACCUCCAACUAUUAUUUGAACCAAAUGUCAAAAUCCAAAUAUUGUUACACCAUUGCCAAGCACGCCAAACCACCGACGAGCACGUAAAAUUUAACUAUACGAAAAGCUGAAAAUUGUCAAAAUCUUCUUAAGUACUUGAAAACCUCACUAGAUGGUGUAUAUAAUUCCUUAUCUUUGAAAUGGAAUUGCUUUAGUUUUUUUUGGUGUUUAGGGAUCUUAUGUUAGUUGGUAUUUAUAGUGGUAUUUAUAGGAAUCUUAUGUUAGUUGGUAUUUAUGGUGGUGGUUCCUCAUAAAAAAUCACCAACUACACAUCUCAUUAUCUCACAUACAAAGACAUGGAUGUUGAGGACAACAAAAUUGGGAAUGGACAGCAAAACGUGAGGGUUAUUCUCACAAACUAAUAACAGUUCUAACUAUACAUCUCAUUAUCUCACAUACAAAGACAUAGUAAUCUGUGUUAAGGAAUCUUACAUUCUCUUAAUCGUAUUACUAGAGAUUUAUCCUACAUUUCGUUCGAGGAGAAAUGGAAGGAAAGAAAAGUAAGGGAAAAUAAUAUUUUUUUUCUUCCUUUGUUUGGAUAGAGUAUUUAAUUUAAGAAAGAGAAAAUAAGCUCUAUUUUCUUUUUACCCACAAGACAAAAGUUUAGGACAUAAAAACAUAUAAUUUUUGUCAUUUCUUUCUUUUCUAAAUAAUUUUAUGAAUGAUGAAGUUGUUAUAAUAUUAUAAUUAAUCAUUUCAUUUCCACUAUUUAACCAAACCAAAAUGAUUAGAAUUACCUGUCCUUUCAUUUCACUAGUUUUAACCAUCUAAAUAAAAUCAUAUGUAAUCAUUUAUUUUUCUUACUUUUACUCUCCUCUACUAUUUUCAAAUCUUUUUAUAACUAAUUAUAUCUUUAUUAUUUUUAAUGAAAAUUGCUAAAUACAAAGAUUGAAAAUUUAAACCAAAUUAAUAGAAUUGAUAAAAAAAAAACUAAAGUUACCCUUUUAUUUAAAAUUAAUCUUAGGGGUUAAUGAAUUUUUCGUCAAACCUCAAAAUAAGUACAUAUUUUUCAUAUCAUAGUAGGUAACAAAAUAGACAUUUAAAAGUUAUGAAAGAAAAUGGAAAAUAAACUUGGGGUUUUAAAAUAAAAAUUUUAAAAUUGCCGUCCAUAAGCAGGGUCAAGAGGCAAGUGGUGGUGGGCAAGAGGAACACAAUGACAGCCAGAGCCCGUUAUUGCUUUUGACUUGGUCUUUUAAUUUAUUUAUUAUUCACAAAUUCUACACCCAAAAGGAGGCAAGCCGAGUAGCCGGUUCGUGGUCGGUGAGCAUUGUCUCGCUACACCACUUGCUCUGGCCCCUCCAUAUAAACCUCUGUUCCCUUGUAUUCAAACCCAAGCCUAGCUUCUCCCGAAAAACAAACUUCUUUUAAUAAAUUUAAAAACUAUGGUGAAGAAGGAACUGUACAUAACCGUACCCAGCGUUUUCCGGUGUCCAAUUUCACUUGACGUGAUGAAAUCUCCGGUUAGCCUUUGUACGGGCGUUACCUACGAUCGUUCCAGCAUCCAAAAAUGGCUCGAAUCUGGUCACGACACCUGUCCAACCACCAUGCAGGUUCUUCCCUCCAAGGAUUUCAUCCCUAACCUUACUCUCCAUCGUCUAAUUAAUCUCUGGAUCCAGUCUUCUACUCUCCGGCCAGGCUCUAACUCUCCGCGGCUUCUUCUGGCGACGCCUCCUGCGAUCUCCGAGGUUCAGGCUAAGCUAUUGAUGGAGAAGGUUGAGAGGGAGCGCUGCGACGAUUCUUUGUCUAAGGUUGCCGAGUUCGUAAGCUGUUGCGAAGAGAACCGGAAAUUUGUAGCUAGAUUCGACGGUUUCGUUGAGGUAAUCGCCGGAGUUUUGAAAAGGAAAUGUGUGGAAAUCAAAGCUUUGGAAACGGCGGUUAGGAUUUUGGAUUUGAUUUUGAGCGAAAAUGGAGUCACAGAAGGGUUAAACAAAUUAAUCCUGAAAAGCAAUCAGGAAAGUAAAUUUUUAUCGGCAAUCGUUUUAAUUCUUCAACACGGAAGCCUGAACUCGAAGAUCAAGUCAGUCCGAGUUCUGGACUCACUAGCACUUGACUCGGAAUCCAAACGCAGGAUCUCCGACUCACAAGACCUUAUAUCCAUCCUUCUCCAGCUCCUGAAAACAAACAACAACGGAUCCUUAAACGACGCCGUUACUUCCAUUUUAACCACCAUUUCAAUAACGCGCUCCAUCAGGUCCCGCCUCAUCGAAAACGGCAUCGUUGAAAUCCUAUCAAACUCGCUCACCGAAAAGUCGUUGAAGUUGUUAGCAACGCUUAGCACUUGCAGCGAAGGGAGGUCAGCAAUCAGUUCCGAGCCAAAAUGCGCGGCGGCGAUCGUAGAAAAGCUGUUGAAGGUGUCGAAAAGGGGGACGGAGGACGCCGUAAC